UACGUAGGGUGCGAGCGUUAAUCGGAAUUACUGGGCGUAAAGCGUGCGCAGGCGGUUCGUCGUGUCCGAUGUGAAAGCCCCGGGCUCAACCUGGGAAUGGCAUUGGAAACUGGCGGGCUUGAGUGUGGCAGAGGGGGGUGGAAUUCCGCGUGUAGCAGUGAAAUGCGUAGAGAUGCGGAGGAACACCGAUGGCGAAGGCAGCCCCCCUGGGCUAACACUGACGCUCAGGCACGAAAGCGUGGGGAGCAAACAGG
rnacentral:rRNA from 1 species